AUUGAACGCUGGCGGCAGGCUUAACACAUGCAAGUCGAGCGGAGAUGAGGUGCUUGCACCUUAUCUUAGCGGCGGACGGGUGAGUAAUGCUUGGGAAUCUGCCUAUUAGUGGGGGACAACAUUCCGAAAGGAAUGCUAAUACCGCAUACGUCCUACGGGAGAAAGCAGGGGAUCUUCGGACCUUGCGCUAAUAGACGAGCCUAAGUCGGAUUAGCUAGUUGGUGGGGUAAAGGCCUACCAAGGCGACGAUCUGUAGCGGGUCUGAGAGGAUGAUCCGCCACACUGGGACUGAGACACGGCCCAGACUCCUACGGGAGGCAGCAGUGGGGAAUAUUGGACAAUGGGCGGAAGCCUGAUCUAGCCAUGCCGCGUGUGUGAAGAAGGCCUUUUGGUUGUAAAGCACUUUAAGCGAGGAGGAGGCUACCUGGAUUAAUACUCUAGGAUAGUGGACGUUACUCGCAGAAUAAGCACCGGCUAACUCUGUGCCAGCAGCCGCCGUAACAC
rnacentral:rRNA from 1 species